rnacentral:rRNA from 1 species
CCAGGCUCGAACGGCAUUGGACAUCCGGCGAAAGCCGGCUCCCGCAAGGGCCGAUGUCGAGGUGCUGCAUGGCUGUCGUCAGCUCGUGUCGUGAGAUGUUGGGUUAAGUCCCGCAACGAGCGCAACCCUUGUCCGCUGUUGCCAUCACGUUAUGGUGGGCACUCUGCGGAGACUGCCGGUGAUAAACCGGAGGAAGGUGGGGAUGACGUCAAGUCAGCAUGGCCUUUAUGUCUGGGGCUACACACGUGCUACAAUGGCCGGUACAAACCGUCGCGAUACCGCAAGGUGGAGCUAAUCGGAGAAAGCCGGUCUCAGUUCGGAUUGCAGGCUGCAACUCGCCUGCAUGAAGUUGGAAUCGCUAGUAAUCGCGGAUCAGCACGCCGCGGUGAAUACGUUCCCGGGCCUUGUACACACCGCCCGUCACAUCACGAAAGCUGGCUGUACUAGAAGUCACCGCGCUAACCCGCAAGGGAGGCAAGUGCCUAAGGUAUGGUCAGUGAUUGGGGUG